CGCCUCUCGAUAAAUUAUAAGAGGUCCAGCCUGCCCAGUGACAUAGUUAAACGGCCGCGGUAUUCUGACCGUGCGAAGGUAGCAUAAUCACUUGUUCUUUAAAUAGGGACUAGUAUCAACGGCAUCACGAGGGUUAUACUGUCUCCUCUCUCCAAUCAGUGAAACUGAUCUCCCCGUGAAGAAGCGGGGAUAAUCCUAUAAGACGAGAAGACCCCAUGGAGCUUUAAACUCAACAACAACCUCCUCCACAAAAUCCUGCAUAGCCACGGAAGUCCUGUUUGUUAGUUUUGGGUUGGGGUGACCGCGGAGAAAAACUAAACCUCCACGACGAACGGAAUUAACUCCUAAUCUAAGAGCCACCACUCUAAGAAUCAAUAAAUUGACAUAAAAUGAUCCGAUAAUCGAUCAACGGACCAAGUUACCCUGGGGAUAACAGCGCAAUCCAUUUCAAGAGCUCCUAUCGACAAAUGGGUUUACGACCUCGAUGUUGGAUCAGGGUAUCCCAGUGGUGCAGCCGCUACUAAAGGUU
rnacentral:rRNA from 1 species